AAAUAUAAAUGGCUCACCUAUGUUUUCUAGAGAGGGAUCUUGCAGAGGCAGAGGGAGAAUCCAUACUACAAAAGAGAACCAAAGGAAAAUUCAAGACCUAAUUCCCAAAGGGAGGAAAAAGGCAAACAGACAAAAAGCAAACUUCUCAGCAGUUUAAACAGACAGCAAUCCUACCUUAAUGAGAGAAAGAUUCCACCAGGCAGCCAGGCAAUAUCAGACAAGAUGAGAAAGUGCUGGGAUA